GUUUCCUACGGGGCGCAGCAGUGGGGAAUAUUGCACAAUGGGGGAAACCCUGAUGCAGCAACGCCGCGUGAGUGAAGAAGUAUUUCGGUAUGUAAAGCUCUAUCAGCAGGGAAGAAGAUGACGGUACCUGAUUAAGAAGCCCCGGCUAACUACGUGCCAGCAGCCGCGGUAAUGCGUAGGGGGCAAGCGUUAUCCGGAUUUACUGGGUGUAAAGGGAGCGCAGACGGCAGUGCAAGGCUGGGGUGA
rnacentral:rRNA from 1 species